rnacentral:rRNA from 1 species
GAUGAACGCUAGCGGCAGGCUUAAUACAUGCAAGUCGUGGGGCAGCAUGGUGUAGCAAUACACUGAUGGCGACCGGCAAACGGGUGCGGAACACGUACGCAACCUUCCUUUAACUGGAGAAUAGCCCCUCGAAGAGGGAUUAAUACUCCGUAACAUAGUGAUGAGGCAUCUCAUUAUUAUUAUAGCUCCGGCGGUUAAAGAUGGGCGUGCGCCUGAUUAGAUAGUU